rnacentral:RNase_P_RNA from 1 species
AGAGCAGGCAGGACGGUCGCCUCGAAUGAAAAACUUCUUUUUUAGAAGUUACUUCGGGGAGGAAAGUCCGAGCUCCACAGGGCAGGGUGCUUUGUAACACAGAGUCCCCCCUUCUUGCUUUCGCAAGAAAGCAAGAAGGGGAGAAGGAAAGUGCCACAGAAAAAAUACCGCCCCCAUAUGUUUGCUUGUGCAAACAAGCAAUGGGGGUAAGGGUGAAAAGGCAGUGUAAGAGACUACCGUCCCGUAGGUGACUACAGGUGCAUGGCAAACCCCACCCGGAGAAAGACCAAAUAGAAGAAGUAGGUUGCCCGCCAUAUUCUGCUAUAUAGCAGAAACUUCUUGGGUUUGGUCGCUAAAGUUAUAUGGCAACAUAUAACAUAGAUAGAUGACUGUCAUCUCGAAGUAUGGGAUACAGAACUCGGCUUAUAUGCCUGCUCCCUAU